GUGCUCACUUUGGCAGCACAUAUACUAAAAUUAGAAUGAUACGGAGAAGAUUAGCAUGGUCCUUAUGCAAGGAUGACACGUGAAUUCGUGACACAUUCCAUAUUUUU